UGAAUUAUUUCGACAAAUUUUACAUUACACACUAUAACGAUAUAGGUAUACUUGAAUUUUGAAUAAAAAGUUGUAAACGAUAGUACUUAAUAAUAAUAAUAAUAAUAAUAUAAUAGCACGUUUAAAACGACAACCGAAGAUAAUACGAAUUUAAAUACAACACACAUAAAUAAUAUUGAAAUCGAGUGUUGGAAAUACGUAAGUACUUAUAGAUUGUAUUGAAAUGUCAAAUUUAAGCUCUAAUAUGAUGUACUUGUACGAAUCGGAUUUUCGUUCUAACUAUAUAACUAUUUUAACACACGAAAUAGAUGAGUGCCAUACACACUAGGCGAAAUUCCAUAAUACGCAACUUUGGCCUGCAGUUAGUAUAGGUAUGCAGGUGCAAGGUGUUUAUAGACCCGACCUUUGAACCACACACUUUUCCUCGGUAUAAAUGUAAAACUAGACGGCGCAUU